rnacentral:rRNA from 1 species
CCCUUAGAUGUCCGGGGCUGCACGCGCGCUACACUGAAUGAAUCAGCGUGCUAGAAAACCUUGUUUGACAUGGCUAGGUAACCCAUUGAAAAUCAUUCGUGAUUGGGAUCGGGACUUGCAAAUGUGUCCCUUGAACGAGGAAUUCCCAGUAAGUGCGGGUCAUCAGCUCGCGUUGAUUACGUCCCUGCCCUUUGUACACACCGCCCGUCGCUGCCCGGAACUGAGCCGUUUCGAGAAAGCCGGGGACCGACGACUUGUGGGUGCGCAAGCACUUCUAGUCGAUGGAAACCAGUUUAAUCGGUAUGGCUUGAACCGGGCAAAAGUCGUAACA